rnacentral:misc_RNA from 1 species
GUAGGUGAACCUGCGGAAGGAUCAUUAUCAAAACGUAUCCACGUAUAAACCAAUUAUUUUAAUGUGAAAUGUAAUGUUUAACGCCUUUGAUAGUUAGUUGAUUGCUAUGUGUAUAAUGUUUCGUGAUUAAAGCAAACAUAACACAUGGACUUGUUGAGUAAAAUCGACUAGCAUUAACUAUCGAAGUGUAAUUAUUUAAUCACUAUUAACCCAUUGAACCGAUUAACUAUUUGUAUUAAUAGUUUUUCAU